rnacentral:rRNA from 1 species
CGUGUAGGCGGCAGCGUGUGUCGGGCGUGAAAUCCCACGGCUCAACCGUGGAAGUGCACUCGAAACUGCGCAGCUAGAGUCCUGGAGAGGAAGGUGGAAUGCUUGGUGUAGAGGUGAAAUUCGUAGAUAUCAAGCGGAACACCGGUGGCGAAGGCGGCCUUCUGGACAGUGACUGACGCUGAGACGCGAAGCGUGGGAGCAAACA